CCAAACAAAUAUUCUGUAAGCUUAGGACUUGUAUAUUCCUUGUUUGGUGUACUGUUUGAGUCUCAUCUGAGGUAUUUACGUUUGUAUCAAACCAUGCAUGGUAUUCACUUUUCGCGUGUCUAAUCAACUUAAGUAGAUCCCGUGUGAUUCCUCGGAAUAGUUUGUCAUUACGAGCUUUCCAUAGGUACCAAAGUAUCCAUGGAUAGGGGUUUUUAUUUAGCUUUGAAUCUUCAAUUUUG
rnacentral:lncRNA from 1 species